rnacentral:rRNA from 1 species
ACUCCUACGGGAGGCAGCAGUAGGGAAUCUUCCACAAUGGACGAAAGUCUGAUGGAGCAACGCCGCGUGAGUGAAGAAGGGUUUCGGCUCGUAAAACUCUGUUGUUAAAGAAGAACAUAUCUGAGAGUAACUGUUCAGGUAUUGACGGUAUUUAACCAGAAAGCCACGGCUAACUACGUGCCAGCAGCCGCGGUAAUACGUAGGUGGCAAGCGUUGUCCGGAUUUAUUGGGCGUAAAGCGAGCGCAGGCGGUUUUUAAGUCUGAUGUGAAAGCCUUCGGCUCAACCGAAGAAGUGCAUCGGAAACUGGGAAACUUGAGUGCAGAAGAGGACAGUGGAACUCCAUGUGUAGCGGUGAAAUGCGUAGAUAUAUGGAAGAACACCAGUGGCGAGGGCGGCUGUCUGGUCUGUAACUGACGCUGAGGCUCGAAAGUAUGGGUAGCAAACAGGAUUA